GGGUUGUGAGGUUAAGCGACUAAGCGUACACGGUGGAUGCCCUGGCAGUCAGAGGCGAUGAAGGGCGUGCUAAUCUGCGAUAAGCGCCGGUAAGGUGAUAUGAACCGUUAUAACCGGCGAUACCCGAAUGGGGAAACCCAGUGUGACUCGUCACACUAUCAUUAACUGAAUCCAUAGGUUAAUGAGGCGAACCGGGGGAACUGAAACAUCUAAGUACCCCGAGGAAAAGAAAUCAACCGAGAUUCCCCCAGUAGCGGCGAGCGAACGGGGAGGAGCCCAGAGCCUGAAUCAGCAUGUGUGUUAGUGGAAGCGUCUGGAAAGGCGCGCGAUACAGGGUGACAGCCCCGUACACAAAAGCGCAUGUGCUGUGAGCUCGAUGAGUAGGGCGGGACACGUGGUAUCCUGUCUGAAUAUGGGGGGACCAUCCUCCAAGGCUAAAUACUCCUGACUGACCGAUAGUGAACCAGUACCGUGAGGGAAAGGCGAAAAGAACCCCGGCGAGGGGAGUGAAAAAGAACCUGAAACCGUGUACGUACAAGCAGUGGGAGCACAGGUUUACCUGUGUGACUGCGUACCUUUUGUAUAAUGGGUCAGCGACUUAUAUUCUGUAGCAAGGUUAACCGAAUAGGGGAGCCGGAGGGAAACCGAGUCUUAACUGGGCGUUAAGUUGCAGGGUAUAGACCCGAAACCCGGUGAUCUAGCCAUGGGCAGGUUGAAGGUUGGGUAACACUAACUGGAGGACCGAACCGACUAAUGUUGAAAAAUUAGCGGAUGACCUGUGGCU
rnacentral:rRNA from 2 species